AUUGUGCGCACACGCAUGCAUGCAUGCACACGCACACGCAUGCAUGCAUGCACACGCACACGCAUGCA
rnacentral:precursor_RNA from 1 species